AGAGAGAAAGAGAGAGAGAGAGAGAGGGAACAAGAGAGAGAAAGAGAGAGAGAGAGAGAGAGAGGAACAAGAGAGAGAGAGAGAGAGAGAGAUUGGGAAAGGGAGAGUGACUGGAGAAAAGAGAUUAGAUGAAGGAUAUGGAGGGAAAGCAAGAAGGAAAGAGACAAGGAAAUAGAGAGUGUGGAUGAGGACAGACCGAUCAGGUGAAGGAGAAGAAGAGAGAGAGAGAGAUGGAGGCAGACAUGGUGAAAGGCGAGUGAUGGGAAGAGGAUUGUGAACUCUGCAACAAGCCAAAUGAUGGACUAAUGGAAGUAACAAUGGAACAAGGAGUUUGAAGAAGGGCCUGAGGAGUGGGGUCAAACAUCCAUCUUUGGAUUCCUCUUUUUGGCCCACACCAUGUGAACACUCCAUCCUAGGGAGGAGAGGAGAAAGGGAUGGAAAAGGGAGUGAAGGAGACUAAAGAGUAACAUUAUAAAAGUAACCAAUGUGCAAUAUAUGGCAAGGGUACCUACUAAAACUAUACACGAACACACACACACACACACACACUUUCUUCACUCGUUUGACAAAACACAGCUCGUCUCUCCUCAGCCUAUGACUCACUCAUACAUACACGUCUUUCUCACCCUUAAUCACUUUUGUGUUUGUUUUAUUUUAAAAGAACUGAAACCGCAUCGCACCACUACAGUGAAGUGUGUUUUAAAACAUUUCUUUUAGAGGUCGUAGUAGAGAUGUGUUUGUACAGUAUUUAUGUUUUUGAUUUUAGCUUUUGUAUUUUUUACAGCUUAAUUUAUAGAUUUCUUUUUCUUUCUUUCUUUGUCUCUAAGAGAUUGUGAUUUACAAGAUCUCUGACACACACACACAAACCAGUGUCCUCAAGUUCAGGCUCAAGUGGUGAUAGUGUUUAAUGUCUCCAAGCCAUGAGAACUACCCUGCAAACUAUCUGUGUCACCUUCAACCACUCCAACCGAAUGCAAUAGCAUUAGGCUAAUUUCCCCACUGUGAGCCAAUGAAGAGGCUAACCGAUUAUCAGACGCGACAGGUAGCCUAGCGGUUAAGAGUAACCAAAAGGUUGCUGGUUUGAAUCCCCGUGGCGACUAGGUGACAAAAAAUCUGACAAUGGGCCCUUGAGCAAGGCACAACUCUAAUUGCUCCUGUAAGUCGCUCUGGAUAAGAGCGUCUGCUAAAUUACUAAAAAUGUAAAUAUAAUCGGAUGGUCCUUGGAUAUUCAACUGCUGCUAGCUGUGUCUCUGUGUAGAGGUAUGUUAGUGGAGCAGCCUGUCUCUGUGUAGAGGUAUGUUAGUGGAGCAGCCUGUCUCUGUGUACUUGCUAAGUGUUCUGUACUUUAGCCAAGUGUGGAAUAAUUGUUGUUUAUUCUGUCCAUGUUGUGUUGUCACAUUGGGUAGAUGGUGUGUCACAUUAUAUUUCCAUGGUCCCCUCCACCCACCUUUGUUUUCACAGUAACUGCGUACUACAUUUAUAGACACUACAUUGUAGAAUAUGAAGCAUGCUAGCUUUCAUGUUAAUCAAGUAACAGAAUUGAGUAGGAUAUCACUGUGGUAAAGACAUUCAUAAUUGACCAUUCACACUACUUCUAACCAUCAUAAUAAGUUUAUGCUGCCAUCCCAGUAAAUUUCAGUAGCCUUUCUGCCAGUGUGUGAAAGAAGUCUAUUGCGUCAUGUAAAUAUUGGUAUAUAUUGCUGUUUUGUCUGUAAAUAGUGCACCCACUGUCCUCAAUUGUUGAUAUGAAUCUAAUGGCAUAUUUUUAUAUACUUGUGUGUGUUUUUUCUCCUCUGGCAUGCGCUGUCAAUCACGUUUAAAUUAUAACUGCCACAAAAUGACAACAAGAGAAAGAAAACAGCGUCUAUGGUUAUACUUCAGUUGUCAUGGUUACUUCACCGUUUUCUUCCUGUAGCUGUUUCUGUUUCGUCACUUCGGGUUCUUCUUUGGAAUUAAAUCAUGUCACUGGUGCCAGACUA